CUCGGUGGGAGCCACUAAAGAGAAUAAGAGGUUCUCCUGCUGUAUCCUGACUUUCUGAGGCUCUGACCUCAGGAAAGCCUGGCAUGAGAGCCUUUUCCAUUGCUGCAGACUUUUUGGUUCAGCACUCACUUCUGGCACCUCUGGUCAUUUGGCAGGAAGUACCCAAAGUGAUGGCCAGGCAGGGCCCUAAUGUCUGAUGAUCUGACUGCAGGGCAUCAUUUUUGCAGAGCUCCAUGUGGGAGAUCAGUGAGGAACUAGUUGAUGGGUUCAACUCCUCCAUCUUCCUAGACAAGGGUUGUCUGCUCAUGUUCUUGUUGCUGUGACAACCCUUCUCGCACCCUGGAACCUCCAGGCAUUUGCCCCUUUGCUGGAUCUGGGAUCCUCAAAGCUCAGGUUCUCAAAACUGCCUUUAUUGUAAAAGAAAGAAAAUUAAGUGCCUUGCUUUGAAGUCUAAAGGACUCUCCUAGGGUGGGUGUUGUAGUCUAUUUUGUGCUGCUGCAACAAAACACCAUAGACUGGGCAAUUUAUAAUGUACAGCAAUUUAUUUCUUACAGUUCUGGAGGCUAGGAAGUCCACAGUCAAGAUGCUGGCAUCUGGUGAGGGCCUUCUUGCUGCAUCAUCCCAUGGCAGAAGGCAUCACAUGGCAGAAGGGCAAAGAGAGGGUGAGAGAGAGCAAGAGGGGGCAGACCCACCUCCACGAUACUGACGUUAAUCCACCCAGGAUGGCAGAGCUCUCAUGACCUAAACACCUCUUAAAGGUCCCAUCUCCCAGUAUGGUCACAAUGGCAACUACACUUCAACAUGAAUUUUAGAGAACACAAACAUGCACACCAUAGCAGUGGGUCUACACUGAAAACUGGUCUCUCAACUUGGUGGGGGCAGUGGGGUGGGGAAUGAGGUUCCCUCAGAUCUUCUCCCUCCAUGCCAGAAGCAGACUAAGCUUCAGGUAGCUUAGUGGGAAGGUGAUGCAGCCCUAGCUUUGGGCAGUUCUUAGUCCUGCCCUGUGUGACCUUGAGCAGCCAUUUGACAUCCCUAAGCCUGCGUUUUCUCGUCUCAACAAUGGGGAUGUUUUCUUAGGACUCACUAGAGUGAUGCUCUUCAUACAAGCUCUUAAUAGGGGAAUGCUAACCUCUCUUGCUGUGGGCACUCACAUCCCUCUUCACACACAAGUCCCCAAGGAAUUGGGGCUUCCUGGUCUGAGCUGUAGCCCACGAUUCUCCUGGUGGUUUUUGGUGCUGCCUCUAACUCUGUGUCCUUCCUUGUCCCACUCAGUAUGAAAAUGAGUUAACCCUGUACCUGGGCAAGAUCUGCAAAAUGUGGACCCUCCUCCAGGUGGGCACUCAGGAGCAUAUGGUGGCAUCCCUGGACCAGGCUUCCAGAGCAGACACAUACCCUACAGCACCACCUUCCUGUGUAACCACUGGGUCUUCGUCUCUACCCCACAGUUCCUGGACUGGGUAUUCAAUAGGUGGGAGCCUGUCCCUUCCACAGCACAGUGGGGACUCUGCCACCAGUUAGCUGUGUGUCUCAGGAAUUUUGCUGCACCUCUCUGAGCCUCAGUUUGCUCCUCUGAGAAUAAAGGUGAUACACAUGCAUCCUGCCGUGUUUUAACAGGGAGGAGAGACCUCAGGAUCAACUAAAAAUGUCAGUGGACUUCAGGUCUAGGAUGGGUUCCUGUUUCCCCAGAACAGUUGGGGGCAUAUAGGAGCCUGUGGCUGGGGAGGGGCUGGCAGAACCCUGGAUCUCAUACAUCUUAGGAUUCCCAUGAGAGGGCUGAGGUCUGGGGGCUUCCUCUGCAGGAGGAAAUUAGUCAGUGAGAGUUAUGAAUGGGAUCCAAGUCCCCUGGGAAGUGAAAGGGAGGCUGGGGGUCAGAGCCAUCCCCACCACAGUCCCAUCUCAGCUCUGCCCGCCUCCUUUCACAUCCACCCCUCCAGACCCAACCUCUAGGGGAUCCAGAACAGGAGCUGUAGUGAGCAUUUUGCUCACAUUUCUACCUCAAACCUCAUUUCUGAGCAUCCUGGUGCAGGUAGCCCUUCAGAGCAAGAGUCACUGGCAAGACCUGGCCCAUGCAGGUUCUGUGCCUGCCCUGCCUGAAGACCAGGGCUGUCUCUGCCAGAACAGUCACAGAGGGGUUGGGUGGGGCCAUCUCUGGACAGGCAGGGCAGCCACAGGGGUCCACAUCUAAACAAGGGUACCCUAGAAGAACAAUGUGGAAGGAAAGGCCAGGCAUCUGACUCUGCUGCCCCCCACCCCCCACCCCCUACACUCUCUCUUCCAUCUUGGGCACCUGGCCAGAAAAGUACCCUGAGGGCACUCCGGGGAAGAAGCCUGCUCCAGUGACAGCCUGACAUAGAGUCAGUCCAGAGCCCUCCUGCCCCUAGUCUGGGACCAUACAGAACUGGCCCGGUGAGGAGGUCCCCAACCUCUUGGGGGGGUUCCCUCCUAUGCUGGUGGCAAAGCAAUGGACUCUGAUGGAUGCAAUGAGUGCUAGGCUCUCAAGGCAGAGUGGGGACAACCUCCCCUCUGGGACCUUUCCCUGAACCUCAGUUGGAUGAUAUGGGCCCAAUCCCAGCUCCACCUCUUACCAACCAUGUGACCUGGACUAGAUUCUUAACCUCCAGGCCUUCACUGUUCACAUGUGCAGGGCAGAAAUGGGACAUAACAGCACCUGCUGCACACAGUGACUGCAGAAUGAGAGCAGAGAGGGAAGGCAGGGCAGGGCCUGGCCCCUUUGUAGGUGGAGAGUGCUCACUGAGGAGCACCCAGGUGCAUGGGU